CCAGUUUUUAUCACUAAUGUAGAGAAACUAGAAAGGAUCCAGAGAUGAGUGACAAAGAUGACCAAAGGCACGGCAUGCAAGCUAUAUGAGCAAAUGCUGAAAGAACUGGGUAUGUUUAGU